CAACCUAACCUAUGGACGGGAAUAACCUCGGGAAACUGAGUAUAAUGCCCGAUAGAACACUAUACCUGGAAUGGUUUGUGUUCCAAAUGAUUUAUCGCCGUAGGAUGGGACUGCGGCCUAUCAGUUUGUUGGUGAGGUAAUGGCCCACCAAGACUAUUACAGGUACGGGCUCUGAGAGGAGUAGCCCGGAGAUGGGUACUGAGACACGGACCCAGGCCCUAUGGGGCGCAGCAGGCGAGAAAACUUUGCAAUGUGCGAAAGCACGACAAGGUUAAUCCGAGUGGUUUCUGCUAAAGAAACCUUUUGUCGGUCCUAGAAACACCGAUGAAUAAGGGGUGGGCAAGUUCUGGUGUCAGCCGCCGCGGUAAAACCAGCACCUCAAGUGGUCAGGAUGAUUAUUGGGCCUAAAGCAUCCGUAGCCGGCUCUGUAAGUUUUCGGUUAAAUCUGUACGCUCAACGUACAGGCUGCCGGGAAUACUGCAGAGCUAGGGAGUGGGAGAGGUAGACGGUACUCGGUAGGAAGGGGUAAAAUCCUUUGAUCUAUUGAUGACCACCUGUGGCGAAGGCGGUCUACCAGAACACGUCCGACGGUGAGGGAUGAAAGCUGGGGGAGCAAACCGGAUUAGAUACCCGGGUAGUCCCAGCUGUAAACUAUGCAAACUCAGUGAUGCAUUGGCUUGUGGCCAAUGCAGUGCUGCAGGGAAGCCGUUAAGUUUGCCGCCUGGGAAGUACGUACGCAAGUAUGAAACUUAAAGGAAUUGGCGGGGGAGCACCACAAGGGGUGAAGCCUGCGGUUCAAUUGGAUUCAACGCCGGG
rnacentral:rRNA from 1 species